AACGUAGGAGACGAACGUUAUCCGGAGUUACUGGGCGUAAAGGGCGUGCAGGCGGUCUGAUAAGUUCGGCGUGAAAUAUUCCGGCUUAACCGGGAUAGGUCGUCGGAGACUGUCGGACUAGAGGGUGAUAGAGGCGUGUGGAAUUCCGGGUGUAGUGGUGAAAUGCGUAGAGAUCCGGAGGAACACCAGUGGCGAAGGCGACACGCUGGGUCACACCUGACGCUGAGGCGCGAAAGCUAGGGGAGCAAACAGG
rnacentral:rRNA from 1 species